UGUUGCUUCGGCGGGUAGGGUCUCCGCGACCCUCCCGGCCUCCCGCCUCCGGGCGGGUCGGCGCCCGCCGGAGGAUAACCAAACUCUGAUUUAACGACGUUUCUUCUGAGUGGUACAAGCAAAUAAUCAAAACUUUUAACAACGGAUCUCUUGGUUCUGGCAUCGAUGAAGAACGCAGCGAAAUGCGAUAAGUAAUGUGAAUUGCAGAAUUCAGUGAAUCAUCGAAUCUUUGAACGCACAUUGCGCCCGCCAGCAUUCUGGCGGGCAUGCCUGUUCGAGCGUCAUUUCAACCCUCAAGCUCUGCUUGGUGUUGGGGCCCUACAGCCGAUGUAGGCCCUCAAAGGUAGUGGCGGACCCUCCCGGAGCCUCCUUUGCGUAGUAACUUUACGUCUCGCACUGGGAUCCGGAGGGACUCUUGCCGUAAAACCCCCCAAUUUUCCAAAGGUUGACCUCGGAUCAGGUAGGAAUACCCGCUGAACUU
rnacentral:rRNA from 1 species